rnacentral:rRNA from 1 species
UACGUAGGGUCCGAGCGUUGUCCGGAAUUAUUGGGCGUAAAGGGCUCGUAGGCGGUUCGUCACGUCGGGAGUGAAAACUCGGGGCUUAACCCCGAGCCUGCUUCCGAUACGGGCAGACUAGAGGUAGGCAGAGGAGAGCGGAACUCCUGGUGUAGCGGUGGAAUGCGCAGAUAUCAGGAAGAACACCGGUGGCGAAGGCGGCUCUCUGGGCCUUACCUGACGCUGAGGAGCCGAAGCGUGGGUAGCGAACAGG